GUUUAGGGUAUAGAGUUUAGGUUUAUAGUCUAGUUUUUGGAUUUAGGGUAUAUAAUUUGGGUUUAGGGUCUAGGAUUAGGGUUUAGGGUAUAGGGUUUGGGUUUAGAGGUUUGGAUUUGGGUUUAGAAUUUAUGGUAUAGGGUUUAGAAUUUAAGAUUUAGGUUUUAGGGUUUAGCUGGAAGCGUUAGCGUCGUUAAAAUUA
rnacentral:lncRNA from 1 species